ensembl:lncRNA
UCAUGAAGAGGUAAGAGCAUGCACAUCCCCAGGCAGUGCACCACACAACUGCCAAAGGGAUGUUAUUGACUUGGACAUUGGACACUUACACUUCCACAUGGACAAAGCUAAGGGUUACAAAGAAUUCCCAAAAAAAAAAAAAAAAAGGGUGUCACUAAGGGGUCUUUUCAUUGAUUUUGGUAAGUUGCCUGGAUCAUAAGAUCAGCAACUUAAGUGGGAGGUGUUGUGCUUUCUGUGGAGGUCUGCCAUUUGUGUAGUCUUGUUAUUUCUUAUUUACUUAUUUAAGUUAUAGAUAAACGUCUGAGGCUUGGCAGCCCAAUGGUGUAGUGCCUCUUUAAGAGAACAGUGUGCUGUGGGUCCAUGUGACCGGUGUUCACCCAAUAAAAAGGUGGCGCAAGAUUUGUAUCAUUGGUAAAUAACUUUGACCCGGUGUGCAGCCACUUGGAAGAAGUCGAUGUUAACAGCAGAUGGACAAUUACUCUGCGGGCCUUCCCAUCUUCCUGCGGAAAGAGGCUGCUGGAUUUUUUAAGAACAGGAAUGCAGAAGAAAUUGACCUGCCAGACCUCUCGGAAGCAGCUGUAGCUAUUCUCACUGUCUCAAGUGACACAGACUCCCUUGCGAAGUUUGGUCCUGCUAUCCAUUCUAUAGUUUUUGAGGGAGAUUUGUGUGUGAUAGCGGAGUUGACAGAGGCAUUCAUUUUGCUGUUUGGCUUAAUUUAUGCGCUUCAUCUCGAUUAUCCAAAGCAAAUGUCCUACACAUUUAAUUUCAUUCAAAAAAAUAUACUGGGUUUGGAUGACCUGAAGCGGUUACCUCCUACUGCUUAGCCUUAAAAAUGAAUUGCUGAUGAUGAAUGAGUAAGAAGUCUGUUUUCCAAAUCUCAUGUUGGUACUGCCAGCAUGUUAAUACUCAAGCAAGCAGGGGGGGAAGAGUACCAUCUUUUAGUUAUUUUUAUGCUUUUAUUUAUGUUAUUUUUGUUGAGUAUUAUUACCUUUGUUGAAGAAAUGGUUUUUAUUUCUUUGGUUUUGAUAAACCCCAUUUCAAGGGAGGCUGUUCCGUUAGAAUUCAAAUGGAGUUCUUAAAUAAAUGGAAUCUGCAGUGAAAUUGUCCUCUGAAUAUUUUUUUAUUUGAAGGAUACAAUAAAAUGUAUUUGAUUUAGAGGAAAAUAGUAAACAUAAAAAGUCAAGAAAAUGUGUUUCAAUAGAGUUAAGUCAACUUAAAAAUAUAAGGCUGA